GCAAGGAAAUGCAGCUUUUGAGUUUACGCCAGAAAGCUUUUUCUGCCUUGAAGAAAAAAAAUAUUUCUAACUGUACACUCCAGUUUUUAAUAACCUGAUGUUCUAAGUUAGCAAUUGUUGUCUAUUCUUGUUAAACUUUACAUAAGCAUAUGUGAAAUAAAAAAACUAAGUAAAUAAGCUAUGAUCACAGUAUUAUAUGAAAAAUAAAUGCUCAAGAGAAUUAAUUCAGAUGCCAACACUGCAUAUAACCCAUAUUUAAUUCUCCUCAGAGUUGCCAUAUAAUCUGCUUAUAGUUGACAAAUUCUUGAAAUGUAUAGAUAUUUCAAGAAAAAUUCAGUAGGACUCGAGAGAAUAUUUGAUGGGAUCAUGAGACAAAACUAGAGAGUGCACACAAAUGUACACAACACACACACACACACACACACACACACAGAGUAAGUUAGAUGCCACAGUGUCCUAGAACAUUAACCAACUACUUUAAAACAAGGUAUUCAGGUGACUGUAUGAUAUGGUUUGGCUUCGUCCCCACCCAAAUCUCAUCUUGAAUUGUAGUUUCCAUAAUACCCAAUGUGUCGCGGGAAGGACCCAGUGAAAGGUAAUUGAAUCAUGGUUGAGGUUACCCCAUGCUGCUCCUCUUGUGGCAGUAAGUUCCCAGGAGAGCUGAUGGUUUCAUAAGUUUUAUAAGGGGCUUUUUCCUCUUUUGCUUGGCACUUCUCCUUCUUGCUGCCAUGUGAAUAAGUACAUGUUUGCUCCCCCUUCUGCCAUGAUUGUAAGUUUCCUGAGGCCUCUCCAGCCAUCCUGAACUCUGCCCAGUUCUCCUCCUUCAGUGGAACCAGCCAUUGUUCCUUCCAAGGUUCUUGUGUAUUGCUUCAAAGGUACUCCAUGCACUUGCAAUCACACAUAACACACUUGCAAAGACUUUCAAAAACACCCAGAGAAACUAUUUGGUGUAAGAAGAGAAUACAAUAUUAAGGCAUGAUGAAUACAAAGAAGAUUUCUAUUUUUAAGAGGGAGGUAUUGACUUUCAUCUGCAUCUUGAUUUAAUUUUUGUUCUGGAAAACAAAGAUCUCCAUAGGAAUUAGUAGUGAACCACUAGAAAUACACUGGAUGAAGACCACUAAGCCAGUGCUACUCAAAAUGUGAUUCAUAGCCUGAUACCUGCCUCUGAACAACAGUUACUGGAUUGCAAUAAGGAGAAACAAGCUAUCAAGUUGUGAAUAGCCCUACGGAGGAACCAUAUAACACGGCAGUAAAAUCCGGAGAUAACCUUGAGCAUUUGAGGGCUGCCAAAGCGACAUAAGUGAGCUCGGAAGUGGAUCCUCCCUGAUUUGAGAAGAUUAUACCGCAGGCCGACAUCUUUACUGAAACCUUUUGAGAGACAUCAACCCAGAGAUUGUGGCUGGUUGCACGUGUCCACUGAUUUGGCCUCAAUGCAUUCUACAGCUCUGGGAGCUACUUUGUCCUCAGCUGCUGCAUGCCCCAGUUCUGCCUCUUGGUCUUGACUGUCAAGCCUUAAACAC